GACGAACGCUGGCGGCGUGCCUAAUACAUGCAAGUAGAACGCUGAAGGAGGAGCUUGCUUCUCUGGAUGAGUUGCGAACGGGUGAGUAACGCGUAGGUAACCUGCCUGGUAGCGGGGGAUAACUAUUGGAAACGAUAGCUAAUACCGCAUAAUAGUAGAUGUUGCAUGACAUUUGCUUAAAAGGUGCAAUUGCAUCACUACCAGAUGGACCUGCGUUGUAUUAGCUAGUUGGUGAGGUAACGGCUCACCAAGGCGACGAUACAUAGCCGACCUGAGAGGGUGAUCGGCCACACUGGGACUGAGACACGGCCCAGACCCCUACGGGAGGCAGCAGUAGGGGAUCUUCGGCAAUGGACGGAAGUCUGACCGAGCAACGCCGCGUGAGGGAAGAAGGGUUUCGGAUCGUAAAGCUCUGUUGUAAGAGAAGAACGAGUGUGAGAGUGGAAAGUUCACACUGUGACGGUAUCUUACCAGAAAGGGACGGCUAACUACGUG
rnacentral:rRNA from 1 species